rnacentral:rRNA from 1 species
AAUCAACGCUGGCGGCGUGCCUAACACAUGCAAGUCGAACGCGAAAGCCCCGCAAGGGGUAAGUAGAGUGGCAAACGGGUGAGUAACACGUGGGUGACCUGCCUUCGAGUGGGGGAUAACGUCCCGAAAGGGACGCUAAUACCGCAUGACAUCCUGCUUUUGAAAAAGCGGAGAUCAAAGCUGGGGAUCGCAAGACCUAGCGCUUGAAGAGGGGCCCGCGCCUGAUUAGCUAGUUGGUGAGGUAACGGCUCACCAAGGCGACGAUCAGUAUCCGGCCUGAGAGGGCGGACGGACACACUGGGACUGAGACACGGCCCAGACUCCUACGGGAGGCAGCAGUGGGGAAUUGUUCGCAAUGGGCGCAAGCCUGGCGACGCAACGCCGCGUGGAGGACGAAGAUCUUCGGGUCGUAAACUCCUGUCGAGCGGGACGAACGCUUCGCGGAUGAAUAAUCCGCGGAAUUGACGGUACCGCUAAAGGAAGCCCCGGCUAACUCCGUG